CAUGCAUGUCUAAGUACAAACUAAAUAAAAAGUGAAACCGCAAAAGGCUCAUUAAAUCAGUUAUGGUUUAUUAGAUCAUUAAAAAUUAUACUUGGAUAACUGUGGUAAUUCUAGAGCUAAUACAUGAAAUAUAAACAUGGACCUAUGGAACAUGUGCUUUUAUUAGACUAAAAUCAAGAGAUUUCUUCGGGAAUCUUAUAAUGGUUGAACUCUAGAUAAUUUGCAAAUCGUAUGGUCUUGUACUGACGAUAGAUCUUUUAAAUGUCUGCCCUAUCAACUAUUGAUGGUAGUAUAGAGGGCUACCAUGGUUGCAACGGGUAACGGGGAAUCAGGGUUCGAUUCCGGAGAGGGAGCCUGAGAAACAGCUACCACAUCUAAGGAAGGCA
rnacentral:rRNA from 1 species